UCAAAAAAUAGUUUAAAUAAAAUAGCAGGUUUGGAUACUGCAGAUGAGAGUAGCUUUUUUGAGCC
rnacentral:tRNA from 1 species